UCUGCUAAAGAGGAGGAAGGGAAUGGGCAACGGUAGGUCAGCAUGCCCCGAAUUAUCUGGGCUACACGCGGGCUACAAUGGGUGGGACGAAUGGGUAUCGACACCGAAAGGUGAAGGCAAUCUACCUAAACCCAUCCGUAGUUCGGAUUGUGGGCUGCAACUCGCCCACAUGAAGCUGGAAUCUGUAGUAAUCGUGUCUCAAAAUGGCACGGUGAAUAUGUCCCUGCUCCUU
rnacentral:rRNA from 1 species